rnacentral:rRNA from 1 species
GACGAACGCUGGCGGCGUGCUUAACACAUGCAAGUCGAACGGAAAGGCCCUGCUUUUGUGGGGUGCUCGAGUGGCGAACGGGUGAGUAACACGUGAGUAACCUGCCCUUGACUUUGGGAUAACUUCAGGAAACUGGGGCUAAUACCGGAUAGGAGCUCCUGCUGCAUGGUGGGGGUUGGAAAGUUUCGGCGGUUGGGGAUGGACUCGCGGCUUAUCAGCUUGUUGGUGGGGUAGUGGCUUACCAAGGCUUUGACGGGUAGCCGGCCUGAGAGGGUUACCGGCCACAUUGGGACUGAGAUACGGCCCAGACUCCUACGGGAGGCAGCGGUGGGGAAGAUUGCACAAUGGGCGGAAGCCUGAUGCAGCAACGCCGCGUGCGGGAUGACGGCCUUCGGGUUGUAAACCGCUUUCGCCUGUGACGAAGCGUGAGUGACGGUAAUGGGUAAAGAAGCACCGGCUAACUACGUG